UACGUAGGGUGCGAGCGUUAAUCGGAAUUACUGGGCGUAAAGCGUGCGCAGGCGGUGAGUUAAGUCUGAUGUGAAAGCCCCGGGCUCAACCUGGGAAUGGCAUUGGAAACUGGCUCGCUGGAGUGUGGCAGAGGGGGGUGGAAUUCCGCGGUGUAGCAGUGAAAUGCGUAGAGAUGCGGAGGAACACCGGUGGCGAAGGCGGCCCUCUGGACGGUGACUGACGCUGAGACGCGAAAGCGU
rnacentral:rRNA from 1 species